rnacentral:rRNA from 1 species
AAGAGUGAACUAGCUAACUGAAAUCACAGGAUCCACUACGUGUGGUGAAUGUUAUAACGUAAGGGAAAAAAAUGAUAUUACCUUACUAUUAGUGUUGUCCAAAACUGGUGCCAGAAGACUCGGUAAGGCCAGAGACGCAAACGUUAGUCGUCCUAAUCAGGCGUAAAGGGUAUGUAGGCUGCUUUAAAAGUUUAGUUUUAUAUUUUAAUAGCUCAGUUUAAAKAUAUUGAWAUUUCAAUAUCUUAAACAGUAAAAUAUACAAUGAAUUAAAGCUAGGAUCAAAUUGAGGAUAAUUUAAAUAAUACUUAGUGUAGGGUUUACAUCUGGUGAUACUAAGGGGAGUACUAACGGUGAAAGCUUUUUAUCUAGAAAUGAUUGACGCUGAGAAACGAAGGUGAGAAUAGGAAAUAGGAUUAGAUACCCAGAUACCUCUCACAGUCAACGAUGAAUGGUGGUUGUUAGUUAGUUUUAUUUAACUGAUAACGAUGUUAACACGAUAACCAUUCCGCCUUGCGAGUACGGUUGCAAAACUGAAACCAAAAAAAUUAGUCGGUCUCGAAGCAAACGAANUGAAGCAUGUAA